rnacentral:rRNA from 1 species
AUUGAACGCUGGCGGCAUGCCUUACACAUGCAAGUCGAGCGGCAGCGCGGGGGCAACCCUGGCGGCGAGCGGCGAACGGGUGAGUAAUGCAUCGGAACGUGUCCUUUUGUGGGGGAUAACCAGUCGAAAGACUGGCUAAUACCGCAUGAGCUCGAGAGAGGAAAGCAGGGGACCGCAAGGCCUUGCGCGAGAGGAGCGGCCGAUGCCCGAUUAGCUAGNGGUGAGGUAACGGCUCACCAAGGCGACGAUCGGUAGCUGGUUUGAGAGAACGACCAGCCACACUGGGACUGAGACACGGCCCAGACUCCUACGGGAGGCAGCAGUGGGGAAUUUUGGACAAUGGGGGAAACCCUGAUCCAGCCAUGCCGCGUGUGUGAAGAAGGCCUCGG